rnacentral:rRNA from 1 species
UACAGAGGGUGCGAGCGUUAAUCGGAAUGACUGGGCGUAAAGGGUGCGUAGGUGGUUCAAUAAGUUGGAUGUGAAAUACCCGGGCUUAACCUGGGGGGUGCAUACAAGACUGUUGAGCUUGAGUUUUGGAGAGGAAACUAGAAUUUCCGGUGUAGCGAUGAAAUGCGUAGAUAUCGGAAGGAAUACCAAUGGCGAAGGCAAGUUUCUGGCCAAGGACUGACACUGAGGCACGAAAGCGUGGGGAGCAAACAGG